rnacentral:rRNA from 1 species
AUCGCAGAUCAGAAUGCUGCGGUGAAUGCGGUCCCGGGUCUUGUACAGUCCGCCCGUCAGAACACGGUAGUGGGAGACGACCGAAGCCUGUUAUCUAGCUGGUUGGAAGAAUUCGUCGAAGGUGGAAGCAAUAACUGGGGUGAAGUCGUAACAAGGUAUCCGUAGCGGAAGUUGCGGCUGGAUCAACUCCUUUCUAAGGAGA